CUAAAACUUGAGUCAUUCUUAUAGAAGAGCAUCAGAGGAAGAUAAAAAAGAAUCCUCAAUGUCAGGCCCCUGAGCCCAAGCUAAGCCAUCAUAACCCUGUGACCUGCACAUAUACAUCCAGAUGGCCUGAAGCAACUGAAGAACCAUAAACGUGAAAUAGCCAGUUCCUGCCUUAACUGAUGACAUUCCACCAUUGUGAUUUGUUCCUGCUCCACCCUAACUGAUCAAUUGAUCUUGUGACAUUCCUUCUCCUGGACAAUGAGUCUCAGGAGCUCCUCACCAAGCACCUUGUUACCCCCACCCCUGCCCACAAGAGAAAACGCACGUUAACUGUAAUUUUUCCACUACCUACCCAAAUCCUAUAAAACUGCCCCACCCCAUCUCCUUUUGCUGACUCCAGGUGAUUAAAAAACUAUUGCUCACACAAAGCCUGUUUGGUGGUCUCUUCACAUGGAUGCGCAUAACACUCAAGGUAAAUAUUAGUCUGGUGAUUUUUUUUUUUUUUGAGAUGGAGUUCCCUCUUGUUGCCAGG
rnacentral:lncRNA from 1 species